CACGUAGGGGGCAAGCGUUGUCCGGAUUUAUUGGGCGUAAAGAGCGUGUAGGCGGUUUGGUAGGUCCGCUGUGAAAACUCGAGGCUCAACCUCGAGACGCCGGUGGAAACCAUCAGGCUAGAGUCCGGAAGAGGAGAGUGGAAUUCCUGGUGUAGCGGUGAAAUGCGCAGAUAUCAGGAAGAACACCCGUGGCUAAGGCGGCUCUCUAGUACGGUACUGACGCUGAGACGCGAAAGCGUGGGGAGCGAACAGG
rnacentral:rRNA from 1 species